UUUCCGUAGGUGAACCUGCGGAAGGAUCAUUACAGUAGUCGCCUGGGUUGCCGCAAGGCCUCCCGGGUAACCUACCACCCUUUGUUUAUUACACUUUGUUGCUUUGGCAGGCCUGCCCUCGGGCUGCUGGCUCCGGCCGGCGAGCGCUUGCCAGAGGACCUAAACUCUGUUUGUCUAUACUGUCUGAGUACUAUAUAAUAGCUAAAACUUUCAACAACGGAUCUCUUGGCUCUC
rnacentral:misc_RNA from 1 species